UACGUAGGUGGCAAGCGUUGUCCGGAUUUACUGGGCGUAAAGAGCGUGUAGGCGGUCCGGUAAGUCCGCUGUGAAAGUCGGGGGCUCAACCCUCGAAUGCCGGUGGAUACUGUCGGGCUAGAGUGCGGAAGAGGCGAGUGGAAUUCCUGGUGUAGCGGUGAAAUGCGCAGAUAUCAGGAGGAACACCUAUUGCGAAGGCAGCUCGCUGGGACGUUACUGACGCUGAGACGCGAAAGCGUGGGGAGCAAACAGG
rnacentral:rRNA from 1 species